GAUGAACGUUGGCGGCGUGCCUAACACAUGCAAGUCGAACGGGGAUAGCAAUAUCCUAGUGGCGCACGGGUGAGUAACACGUAGCUAACCUGCCCCCAAGAACGGGAUAACGGGUCGAAAGACCUGCUAAUACCGUAUAAGCUCACGCUAUUUAGCAAGGUGUGAGAAAAGUUCAGGCGCUUGGGGAUGGGGCUGCGGCCCAUCAGCUAGUUGGUGAGGUAACGGCUUACCAAGGCGACGACGGGUAGGGGGCCUGAGAGGGUGAACCCCCACACUGGGACUGAGACACGGCCCAGACUCCUACGGGAGGCAGCAGUGAGGAAUAUUGCUCAAUGGGCGCAAGCCUGAAGCAGCGACGCCGCGUGGGCGAUGAAGGUCUUCGGAUCGUAAAGCCCUUUUCUGCGUGACGAGGAAGGACGGUAGCGCAGGAAUAAGUGUCGGCUAACUACGUGC
rnacentral:rRNA from 1 species